AACUGAUACUACCUGCGGGAACCUGCGGAGGGAUCAUUACCGAAAAUCACUAUAUAUAUGUGGUGCGCAGUGGGCGCAGAGUGAGUGUGAAAAUGCGCGCUUGCACUCGGUUACUACGCGCCAUAUAUCUAUACACCCCUUGUGUGAACCAUUGAUUCUAUGUGCAUGCAGUCUUGGCGCUGGCAGUGCAGCGGUAGCUAGCACUACUAACGUCAAGGCCGCAGCACAUUUUCAACACCU
rnacentral:misc_RNA from 1 species